rnacentral:rRNA from 1 species
AAUGAACGCUGGCGGCGCGCCUAAUACAUGCAAGUCGAGCGAGAAGACGUAGCAAGUACGUUUGUAAAGCGGCGAACGGGUGAGGAAUACAUGGGUAACCUACCCUCGAGUGGGGAAUAACUAGCCGAAAGGUUAGCUAAUACCGCGUACGCUCCUUGGACUUCGGUUCAGGGAGGAAAGCGAUACCGUGGGUAUCGCGCUCUUGGUUGGGCUCAUGUCCUAUCAGCUUGUUGGUGAGGAACGGCUCACCAAGGCUUCGACGGGUAGCUGGUCUGAGAGGACGAUCAGCCACACUGGCACUGCGACACGGGCCAGACUCCUACGGGAGCAGCAGUAAGGAAUAUUGCGCAAUGGGCGAAAGCCUGACGCAGCGACGCCGCGUGGGGGAUGAAGGUC